GGGAUUGUGGCUCAGAGGUAGACCACUCACCUAGCAUGUGUGAAGCACUGAGUUCAAACCUCAGCACUACAU
rnacentral:tRNA from 1 species